UGUUAAAAAAUUCAUCCAUUUCUACUGUUAAAAAUAGGGUUGACAGAAUAAUCAAACAAUUACACGUGGCAUGCCAUAUGUAUAUACUUCAUGUUGACAUACAGGGACUAAUUUUUAAUAGUUAAAAUGGAUGAAAAUUUUAAUA
rfam:Gossypium raimondii Chr01_contig_27, whole genome shotgun sequence.